CAACAGGCUUUUGGUGCCUGAACGGUUUCAGAAGACAGAAUCUGGACGACUAGGACAUUUUCUUUCGAGACUCCUCCAGCAGAGGUGAAGUCAGACAUUGACAGCGACAUCUUAACCGGUCAAUGUGUGCAGUUCACCAGAAGUGACGGGUCCAAACAGAUCGACAAAGUCAUUUACCAAGUUCUAGCCAAGCCUUCUGUGUAGUUCACCAAGUUUGAUGGCGACAUCCACAUCUACGUCUAUAAUCUGGUGGAAAAGAUCUGUUAAGAUACCCACGGGCCUUUGACAACCCCAGUAUCUUUUCCAGUUGAAUUUGUUUUGCUCUAAAAAUUAAAAUGUGUGAUGUGAC
ensembl:lncRNA